rnacentral:misc_RNA from 1 species
UCUCCGUUGGUGAACCAGCGGAGGGAUCAUUACCGAGUUUUCAACUCCCAAACCCCAUGUGAACUUAUACCAUUUACAACCGUUGCUUCGGCGGGUUCUCGCCCCGGGCUUUACACCCCGGAACCAGGCGGCCCGCCGGGGGACCCAAACUCUUGUUAAUUUUUGUCAAAUCUGAAUCAAAACUAAGAAAUAAGUUAAAACUUUCAACAACGGAUCUCUUGGUUCUG